CAGUAGCCACGGUAAAACGUAGGUGGCAAGCGCUGUCCGGAAUUAUUGGGCGUAAAGGGCUCGCAGGCGGUUUCUUAAGUCUGAUGUGAAAGCCCCCGGCUCAACCGGGGAGGGUCAUUGGAAACUGGGAAACUUGAGUGCAGAAGAGGAGAGUGGAAUUCCACGUGUAGCGGUGAAAUGCGUAGAGAUGUGGAAGAACACCAGUGGCGAAGGCGACUCUCUGGUCUGUAACUGACGCUGAGGAGCGAAAGCGUGGGGAGCGAACAGGAUUAGAUACCCGCGUAGUCCCUGUCUCUUAUAC
rnacentral:rRNA from 1 species